rnacentral:rRNA from 1 species
GUAGGUGGCAAGCGCUGUCCGGAAUUAUUGGGCGUAAAGCGCGCGCAGGCGGUUCUUUAAGUCUGAUGUGAAAGCCCACGGCUCAACCGUGGAGGGUCAUUGGAAACUGGAGAACUUGAGUACAGAAGAGGAAAGCGGAAUUCCACGUGUAGCGGUGAAAUGCGUAGAGAUGUGGAGGAACACCAGUGGCGAAGGCGGCUUUCUGGUCUGUAACUGACGCUGAGGCGCGAAAGCGUGGGGGAGCAAACAGGAUUAGAUACCCUGGUAGUCCACGCCGUAAACGAUGAGUGCUAAGUGUUAGGGGGUUUUCCCGCCCCUUAGUGCUGCAGCUAACGCAUUAAGCACUCCGCCUGGGAGUACGGCCGCAAGGCUG